AUAUGGCUCAGGAUGAACGCUAGCGGCAGGCUUAACACAUGCAAGUCGAGGGGCAUCGGGAGUAGCAAUACUGCCGGCGACCGGCGCAAGGGUGCGUAACGCGUGAGCAACAUGCCCGUAUCAGGGGGGAUAAUCCAUGGAAACGUGGUCUAAUACCCCAUAGUAAUUAUGUAAGGCAUCUUAUAUAAUUUAAAGCUUUGGUGGAUACGGAUUGGCUCGCGUGACAUUAGCUAGAUGGUAAGGUAACGGCUUACCAUGGCUACGAUGUCUAGGGGUUCUGAGAGGAAGGUCCCCCACACUGGAACUGAGACACGGUCCAGACUCCUACGGGAGGCAGCAGUGAGGAAUAUUGGACAAUGGAUGGAAAUCUGAUCCAGCCAUGCCGCGUGCAAGGAAGACGGCCCUAUGGGUUGUAAACUGCUUUUGUAUGGGAGCAAUAAGGGCUACGCGUAGUCCGAUGAGAGUACCAUACGAAUAAGCACCGGCUAACUCCGUGCCAGCAGCAGC
rnacentral:rRNA from 1 species